rnacentral:rRNA from 1 species
CCUACGGGAGGCAGCAGUGGGGAAUUUUGGACAAUGGGCGAAAGCUGAUCCAGCAAUGCCGCGUGCAGGGUGAAGGCCUUCGGGUUGUAAACUGCUUUUGUACGGAACGAAAAAGCUUCUCCUAAUACGAGAGGCCCAUGACGGUACCGUAAGAAUAAGCACCGGCUAACUACGUGCCAGCAGCCGCGGUAAUACGUAGGGUGCGAGCGUUAAUCGGAAUUACUGGGCGUAAAGCGUGCGCAGGCGGUUAUGUAAGACAGAUGUGAAAUCCCCGGGCUCAACCUGGGAACUGCAUUUGUGACUGCAUGGCUAGAGUACGGUAGAGGGGGAUGGAAUUCCGCGUGUAGCAGUGAAAUGCGUAGAGAUGUGGAGGAACACCGAUGGCGAAGGCAAUCCCCUGGACCUGUACUGACGCUCAUGCACGAAAGCGUGGGGAGCAAACAGGAUUAGAUACCCUGGUAGUCCACGCCCUAAACGAUGUCAACUGGUUGUUGGGAAUUAGUUUUCUCAGUAACGGAGCUAACGCGUGAAGUUGACCGCCUGGGGAGUACGGCCGCAAGGUUGAAACUCAAAUGAAUUGACGGGG